CCUACGGGAGGCUGCAGUGAGGAAUAUUGGUCAAUGGGCGAGAGCCUGAACCAGCCAAGUCGCGUGAGGGAGUACUGCCCUAUGGGUUGUAAACCUCUUUUGUCGGGGAGCAAAAGCCGGACGUGGCCGGCUGUGAGAGUACCCGAAGAAAAAGCAGCGGCGAACUCCGUGCCAGCAGCCGCGGUAAUACGGAGGAUGCGAGCGUUAUCCGGAUUUAUUGGGUUUAAAGGGUGCGUAGGCGGUUUGAUAAGUUAGAGGGGAAAUGUCGGGGCUCAACCCCGAAACUGCCUCUAAGACUGUUGGACUAGUGCAUAGUUGCGGUCGGCGGUAUGUAUGUUGUCGCGGUGAAAUGCUUCGAGAUCAUACAGAACCCCGAUUGCGCAGGCAGCUUACCACACUAUAUCUGACGUUGAGGCAC
rnacentral:rRNA from 1 species